GUGUCAGCCGCCGCGGUAAGACAGAGGGUGCAAACGUUGCUCGGAAUCACUGGGCGUAAAGGGCGUUUAGGCGGGAAGGAAAGUCAGAUGUUAAAUCCCUGGGCUCAACCCAGGAACUGCAUUUGAAACUCCCUUUCUUGAGUGUCGGAGAGGAAAGUGGAAUUCCUGGUGUAGAGGUGAAAUUCGUAGAUAUCAGGAGGAACACCGGUGGCGAAGGCGGCUUUCUGGACGACAACUGACGCUGAGACGCGAAAGCGUGGGGAGCAAACAGGAUUAGAUACCCCCGUAGUCC
rnacentral:rRNA from 1 species